rnacentral:lncRNA from 1 species
GUAACAGAUCCUGAGAUUUUGCAUCACUGUAUUGUAACCUUUUCCUCCCCUCUGCAAUUGCUUUUGAACAGCCAGACGUGUCACAGAGGUGCAACGACGUACUCAGAGGCAGGCAUCUAAUUGUCUCCAACCUCGGUGAGAGAUGAGUAGCAGCACUGCUUCUUUCAGGUGGGUCUGAGAGCUGCUGUGGAACUGAAGACCAGGAGUUGCCUACGUUAACCGGAGGACUGAGAUGCUCUGAUCAGCCUGCCUGCUGAGGCAGUGGUUACAGCUCGAGUAGCAUACGGCACUGGAGUAAAUCCACAUUCUCUACUUCUUUCUCAUAAGCUUGAAAAUAAAUGGAUACUGGUGAGUAACUUUCUCCCCAAAUUCAUAUGCCCUCUUGGAGUAUCCUUAUAUUUUAGUGGACACUUAGUUUUGGAUCUCAGAUUUAUUGUCCAAACCUGUCUGCUUGUAAGACUGAAAUCAUGAAUUGAGCCCCUCUCAAAAUGCUGAGAUAAGUUUAAAAGUCAUCAGUAGUAUUUCUGCAUGGAUUGAUUAGUUUUUAUUUUUACUUUUGUUUUUUUUUUCUUUGACUUGUAAUUUUUCAACCUUUAGCUGCACCUUGAUCAUCCCUCUGAUGACUUUUUGGUGUAGCCACAAGGUUUAGAAAUGAGUUCUUUUAGAGAGACUGUAACUAUUUCGCAUCAAAUCUUGCUAUUCUAAAAUAAAAAGGUCACUUCUACAAAGGAAACUUCA